rnacentral:rRNA from 1 species
UGGGGAAUAUUGCACAAUGGGCGCAAGCCUGAUGCAGCCAUGCCGCGUGUAUGAAGAAGGCCUUCGGGUUGUAAAGUACUUUCAGCGAGGAGGAAGGCAUUAAGGUUAAUAACCUUGGUGAUUGACGUUACUCGCAGAAGAAGCACCGGCUAACUCCGUGCCAGCAGCCGCGGUAAUACGGAGGGUGCAAGCGUUAAUCGGAAUUACUGGGCGUAAAGCGCACGCAGGAGGUCUGUCAAGUCGGAUGUGAAAUCCCCGGGCUCAACCUGGGAACUGCAUUCGAAACUGGCAGGCUAGAGUCUUGUAGAGGGGGGUAGAAUUCCAGGUGUAGCGGUGAAAUGCGUAGAGAUCUGGAGGAAUACCGGUGGCGAAGGCGGCCCCCUGGACAAAGACUGACGCUCAGGUGCGAAAGCGUGGGGAGCAAACA